AUCAUAUGCUUUUUCGCCUUUUUCUUUUUACAUUUAUUUACAUGUAUUAUAAAAAUAAAUUAUAUUUAUUUUUUUUUAACGUUAAACCAAGGUGGUGUUCCCUGGAUGAACCCAAUUUGGUCAUGAUAUGUUACUCUUCUUGAAUAUUGCUGGAUUGUUUUUGCCAGCAUUUUUAAAGGCACAACCUGAGCCCUUUUCCUUGGGAUUAUCCACUUCCUAUUUACCAUAUCAAUUGCAAGAACUGAUCCCAGG